ACGGAAGGCAGCAGUGGGGAAUAUUGGGCAAUGGGCGAAAGCCUGACCCAGCAACGCCGCGUGAAGGAAGAAGGUCUUCGGAUUGUAAACUUCUUUUAUGAGGGACGAAGGAAGUGACGGUACCUCAUGAAUAAGCCACGGCUAACUACGUGCCAGCAGCCGCGGUAAUACGUAGGUGGCAAGCGUUAUCCGGAUUUACUGGGUGUAAAGGGCGCGUAGGCGGGGAUGCAAGUCAGGUGUGAAAUCUAUGGGCUUAACUCAUAAACUGCACUUGAAACUGUAUCUCUUGAGUGCUGGAGAGGUAGACGGAAUUCCUUGUGUAGCGGUGAAAUGCGUAGAUAUAAGGAAGAACACCAGUGGCGAAGGCGGUUAGCUGGACAAUAACUGACGCUGAGGCGCGAAAGCGUGGGUAGCAAACAGGAUUAGAUACCCUGGUA
rnacentral:rRNA from 1 species